rnacentral:rRNA from 1 species
UACGAAGGGUGCAAACGUUGCUCGGAAUUAUUGGGCGUAAAGCGCACGUAGGCGGCUAUUCAAGUCGGGGGUGAAAGCCCGGGGCUCAACCCCGGAACUGCCCUCGAAACUAGAUAGCUAGAAUCUUGGAGAGGCGAGUGGAAUUCCGAGUGUAGAGGUGAGAUUCGUAGAUAUUCGGAAGAACACCAGUGGCGAAGGCGACUCGCUGGACAAGUAUUGACGCUGAGGUGCGAAAGCGUGGGGAGCAAACAGG